AGAUAAAGAAUGAAAAGAGAAUAUACAACCUUGUGAUUGCUAGCAGUGAAAGCUCAGAGUUAUGACAUAACAAUUGGUUGGAAAGAACCCAAGGGGACAUGGGCACAGCAUCCCUUCCUGGGCCUCUUCCUCAGGUGGUGCGGGUGGGAAAUCAGGAAGCUCCCAGACAUGGAGCAACUCAGGUGAUCAUGGAACAGAGAGAAGAGGGGCUUGAGCAGAGAGAAUGCUUAGAGGCUAAGCGAUGGGCAAGUGAGAGGGAAAGAGCCGCGACAGACAGAGCUGGCUGCCUAGGGGUCUCAGAGGCUUCAUCCUGCAGGCGGCAGGCGGCAGGACAAAGGGACCUUCGCACUCGAGAUCAAGAUUCCAAGGAGUUAAACGCUACCACGCAGCCCGACCUGGAUGGGAUUUGCUCCUGGGUACAAAACGGGACACUGAUCAAAAUCAACUUGGACAAGUGA
rnacentral:antisense_RNA from 1 species